GGUUAAGUGACUAAGCGUACACGGUGGAUGCCUUGGCAGUUGGAGGCGAUGAAGGACGUACUAACUUGCGAUAAGCUAAGUCAAGCCAGUAAGAGGCACUUGAGACUUAGAUUUCCGAAUGGGGAAACCCACCGCUUAGCGGUAUCUUGCAGUGAAUACAUAGCUGUAAGAGGCAAACCGGGAGAACUGAAACAUCUAAGUACCCCGAGGAAAAGAAAUCAACCGAGAUUCCGAAAGUAGCGGCGAGCGAAAUCGGAUUAGCCCUUAAGCUUCAGUGUAAUUAGUGGAACCUUCUGGAAAGUUGGACGACACAGGGUGACAGUCCCGUACACGAAAAUUUAUCUGAAGUGAAAUCGAGUAGGUCGGAGCACGUGAAACUUUGACUGAAUAUGGGGGGACCAUCCUCCAAGGCUAAAUACUCCCAACUGACCGAUAGUGAACCAGUACCGUGAGGGAAAGGCGAAAAGAACCCCUGUGAGGGGAGUGAAAUAGAACCUGAAACCGUGUACGUACAAGCAGUAGGAGCCCUUCGAGGGUGACUGCGUACCUUUUGUAUAAUGGGUCAGCGACUUAUAUUCUGUAGCAAGGUUAACCAUUUAGGGGAGCCGUAGCGAAAGCGAGUCUUAACUGGGCGCUUAAGUUGCAGGGUAUAGACCCGAAACCCGGUGAUCUAGCCAUGGGCAGGUUGAAGGUCAGGUAACACUGACUGGAGGACCGAACCCACUAACGUUGAAAAGUUAGGGGAUGACCUGUGGCUAGGAGUGAAAGGCUAAUCAAACCGGGAGAUAGCUGGUUCUCCCCGAAAUCUAUUUAGGUAGAGCCUCGGACGAAUACUUACGGGGGUAGAGCACUGUUAAGGCUAGGGGGUCAUCCCGACUUACCAACCCUUUGCAAACUCCGAAUACCGUAAAGUACUAUCCGGGAGACACACGGUGGGUGCUAACGUCCAUCGUGGAGAGGGAAACAACCCAGACCGUCAGCUAAGGUCCCAAAGUGUAUGUUAAGUGGGAAACGAUGUGGGAAGGCUAAAACAGCUAGGAGGUUGGCUUAGAAGCAGCCAUCCUUUAAAGAAAGCGUAAUAGCUCACUAGUCGAGUCGGCCUGCGCGGAAGAUGUAACGGGGCUAAACAUACCACCGAAGCUACGGCUGC
rnacentral:rRNA from 1 species